UACGUAGGGGGCGAGCGUUGUCCGAAGUUACUGGGCGUAAAGCGCGCGUAGGCGGCUUUUUAAGUCUGGGGUGAAAGGUUCUGCGCUUAACGUGAACAGUGCCCUGGAGACUGGAAGGCUUGAGUGUGGGAGGGGGCAGUGGAAUUCCUGGUGUAGCGGUGAAAUGCGUAGAUAUCGGGAGGAAUACCGAUGGCGAAGGCAGGUCUCUGGGCUGACACUGACGCUCAUGCACGAAAGCGUGGGGAGCAAACAGG
rnacentral:rRNA from 1 species